CAAUAGCGUAUAUUAAAGUUGUUGCAGUUAAAAAGCUCGUAGUUGGAUUUCUGGUUGAAGCGACCGGUCGGGCGUUGAUUCGUCUGCACUGGAGUCGGUUUUGGCCAUCCUCUAGGAAAGUGCGUCUGGUAUUAAGUUAUCGGGCGUAUGAUCCUGGUCUUUUACUGUGAAAAAAUUAGAGUGUUUAAAGCAGGCCUUCGCCUUGAAUACAUUAGCAUGGAAUAAUAAGAUAGGACUUUGGUCUAUUUUGUUGGUUUGCAGACCGAAGUAAUGAUUAAUAGGGAUAGUUGGGGGUAUUUAUAUUCCGAUGUCAGAGGUGAAAUUCUCAGAUUUUCGGAAGAUAAACUUAUGCGAAAGCAUUUACCAAGGAUGUUUUCAUUA
rnacentral:rRNA from 1 species